AAUUAGGGUUCGAUUCCGGAGAGGGAGCCUGAGAAACGGCUACCACAUCCAAGGAAGGCAGCAGGCGCGCAAAUUACCCAAUCCCGAUACGGGGAGGUAGUGACAAUAAAUAACAAUACAGGGCUCUUAUGGGUCUUGUAAUUGGAAUGAGUACAAUUUAAAUCCCUUAACGAGGAACAGUUGGAGGGCAAGUCUGGUGCCAGCAGCCGCGGUAAUUCCAGCUCCAAUAGCGUAUAUUAAAGUUGUUGCAGUUAAAAAGCUCGUAGUUGAAUUUCGGGGUUCUACCGUUGGUCGGGCAAUUGUCUGUACUGGCGUGUAGAAUUUCUACCUUCUGGGGAACCAUUAUGUUAUUAAUUUAGCGUGGUGGGAAACCAGGACCUUUACCUUGAAAAAAUUAGAGUGUUCAAAGCAGGCUUACGUCUGAAUACAUUAGCAUGGAAUAAUAAAAUAGGACGGUGGUCCUGUUUUGUUGGUUUCUGAAUCACCGUAAUGAUUAAUAGGAAUAGUUGGGGGCAUUAGUAUUCAAUUGUCAGAGGUGAAAUUCUUGGAUUUAUUGAAGACUAACUUCUGCGAAAGCAUUUGCCAAGGAUGUUUUCAUUAAUCAAGAACGAAAGUUAGGGGAUCGAAGACGAUCAGAUACCGUCGUAGUCUUAACCAUAAACUAUGCCGACUAGGGAUCGGACGAUGUUA
rnacentral:rRNA from 1 species